GUAGGGGGGGCAAGCGUUGUCCGGAAUUAUUGGGCGUAAAGCGCGCGCAGGCGGCUAUUUAAGUCUGGGUGGUUUAAACCUUGGGGCUCAACCUGAGGUCGCACUGGAAACUGGGUGGCUUGAGUACAGAAGAGGAAAGUGGAAUUCCACGUGUAGCGGUGAAAUGCGUAGAGAUGUGGAGGAACACCAGUGGCGAAGGCGACUUUCUGGGCUGUAACUGACGCUGAGGCGCGAAAGCGUGGGGAGCAAACAGGAUUAGAUACCCUGGUAGUCCACGCCGUAAACGAUGAGUGCUAGGUGUUAGGGGUUUCGAUACCCUUGGUGCCGGAGUUAACACAGUAAGCACUCCGCCUGGGGAGUACGGUCGCAAGACUG
rnacentral:rRNA from 1 species